rfam:Pasteurella bettyae CCTG 2042 contig00017, whole genome shotgun sequence.
UGUCGUAGCUGGAUUAGAGAUCGGCUAACGAUGUAUCAUUAACAAACCCUAGUUAUAAGGAUUUAAUAUGUCUCUAACUACAGAACAAAAAGCAGCAAUCGUUGCUGAAUAUGGUCGUGAUGCA